CGCGCCUCCGGUGACCCCCACGAGCCUCUGGAUCGAUAAUGUUUAUCUUCUCUGCUAAUUAGCUGGAGUAGCAAGAAGUUUUCACGAUCUGUUUGUUAGUGUAAGGCGUUUAUGUUUAAGAGUCUGUGGCAAUGCGUUGUACUAGUAUAUACUAAAAGAAAUAUAAGGGGUACCGAGAGGAGGCUUCACGUUGAUCCACAUCAUCAGAAUUAUACGGGCCGUUGGAUAUGAGAGUUGUAGCAACGCAACCGUUAGAUCUACAUGACACAUAAAAUUUUCUUUUAAAUCAUGUGAACGUGAAACAAUCUGAUCUCUCCGGCCUCCCCUAUAUCUUGAGGGUUAAUUGGAUCUAUGCCACUCUCUAUUUCACCGGUUGGAGAUAUGCCAUUAUAAAAAAUUGAUUUGGAGAAAUACCACUCUAACUUUCUUAUACCUCUAUCAAUGCCAUUCUGUCCACUUAAGACCAAUAAGUGUUCAUAAAAUACAUGUAUUUCAACGUGUACAAUAGUAUUUACCAUAAUACCCCUAUUUACAAUGUUCAGCAGUACGUUCGAGUCUUCCAGGGGCCAUAAAGGUUAUUUCUUUUUCCAAAUUUGGCCCAAAAUUUCAAUGUUCUCAGAAAAGUCUAAAAAUUAUAAAAAAUAAAAAAAAGUAAUAUGAGUCCACCGUUGGGGACGGGAUAUGAGGAGCGCGUGGGAAUAAGAGGAAUAUAACUGUUUGACUUGGAAUGAGAAAAAAAAUUGUUCGUAUAGAGUUAUGUAUAUACGUAUUUAGACCAGUAUACGUGCUGGUAUUGGACAAAAUGGCAAGAAUAGAGGUAUGAAAAAGUUAGAGUGGCAUUUCUCCAAAUCAAGUUUUUUAAUGGCAUAUUUCCAACCGGUGAAAUAGAGAGUGGCAUAGAUCCAAUUAACCCAUAUCUUUAACCUUAACUAACUCCGACAGUAUAUAUCUUUUUCUUCCAAAAAAAAUCGUACUAUUUUUAACUUGGCCGCAAUGCCCUGAAGGUAAAUCCCAAGCCCCCCUCGGCCCCUCCCCAUCGCACAUCACAUCGUGUCCUCCACCGAUCUCUCCGGCCUCCCCGUCCGAGGAGAGCUAGCUCGCGAGCCAUGAGAGGAAGAGGCGCUUAGGACGGCGGCCGGGCUAAAGGUCUUUGUAAUCUAAGACACAUAAUGGUUCCUGUACGGAUGGUCC
rnacentral:lncRNA from 1 species